GACGAACGCUGGCGGCGUGCUUAACACAUGCAAGUCGAACGGAAAGGCCCUGCUUGCCGGGUACUCGAGUGGCGAACGGGUGAGUAACACGUGGGUGAUCUGCCCUGCACUUCGGGAUAAGCCUGGGAAACUGGGUCUAAUACCGGAUAGGAGCCAUUUUUAGUGUGAUGGUUGGAAAGUUUUUUCGGUGUAGGAUGAGCUCGCGGCCUAUCAGCUUGUUGGUGGGGUAAUGGCCUACCAAGGCGGCGACGGGUAGCCGGCCUGGGAGGGUGGACGGCCACAUUGGGACUGAGACACGGCCCAGACCCCGACGGGAGGCAGCAGGGGGGAAUAUUGCACAAGGGGCGCGAGCCGGAUGCAGCGACGCCGCGGGGGGGAGGACGGCCUUCGGGUUGGAAACUCAUUUCGCUAGGGCCGAAGCUUUUUGUGACGGUACCUAGAGAAGAAGCACCGGCUAACUACGUG
rnacentral:rRNA from 1 species